rnacentral:rRNA from 1 species
GUUUACUGCCAUGCUACCCUGAACAAGCCCGAUCCCAUCUGAUCUUGGAAGCUAAGCAGGGUCGGGCCUGGUUAGUACUUGGAUGGGAGACCACCUAGGAAGACUAGGUGCUUUAGGCA